ACAGUCAGAUUAACUUUGAAGCUGAUCUGGGAUCAGUGUUUGGGGCUGGAGGAUACAUUGGUUGUCCUGAUGUAGCCGAUGACUUGGAGCCACUUAACAGAUGCCAACAAAACCCACCACCAAAAUCAGCACCAAAUCCAGUACGACCAGUAAGACCUAUAAGGCCUCCUAGACCAUCUCUCAAGAACAAGGAGAAGGCAACUUCCCAGGGUAUUGACCUGAAGUGAUCUCUGCCUGAGGUGGUGUACACACCGUCUUCUAACAAAGGCAAUAAAAACCAGAAAAAAGAGUGGGGAAAUUAAAGGAAAUAGGGUUACAAAAUGUAAAAACUUGAAUGGAAGAAUUGUAGGAAGACGUUAUUGUGGAGCUACAUGUGUUGAUUAUUCCAGUAAAUUACUUGCCAUCUAGAAAAAUAAGUUGGUCUGUUUUAGUCGGGAGGGAAACAGAUAAAAAUUAAAAUGUAAAAACAGAUUGCAACCACGG